UAUAUACAUUUUACAGAUACAAAAUCUUUGCCAAAAUAUGCAUAAUUUGCAAGUACACUGAAGUUAGAAAAUGCCAGAAUAAAGGUUGCCUUUCCAUGCAUAUGCCCUGAAGGAAUCUUUAAUUACAAGAUUCCUGGCUUCUUUUUCUAACAGUGAAAUGUUCUAAUUUCACUGCGGGCUUGAUUUUGAAGUCCUAAUAUUUUCUCUUUUAAAUAAAGACUGAGGGAUGCGUUUCCCCAGGUUUAAAAGAAAAACAGCAGAAUUGGAAAACAACAAUAUUCCAUCCUUCAACAGCAUCAGACUGCAACUUCUGUGUGUGAUCCCAGGAGCCUCCUGAGUGGAUUUCCCCAAGGCUGGUGCGGUGCUGCAGCCUGAGCAGUGAUCCCGUGUGUCUUUUGCCAUGUGACACAAAGCUACAGGUGUCAGUAAGAGGACUACAAGAAUGAAUCCUGUUCCCUGAAAUGCAGCUGGAGAACGAGGGCAGCUCAGGCCACCCCAGGCCUCAGGAGAUUGAUAGUGCUGGCAGCUGAGGAUCUAAUUAUGGAUUAUUUGGGUCGGACUCUUUUAUCCCAGGAAAAAUAAGAAGGGAGAGAGAAAGGAAUUUCUCUUUGAUAGCUGUGUGCUGUAAAUCUGAUGAUGGGCCCUUUAAUUCCUGCUUGUUCUGUCAGGAUGAAGAACAGAGCUAAAUCCAGCAGACCUUGUUUUGGCAAAACUCCCACUGAAGUCAGGGCUUGUGAAAGUCAGGUCCAUGUGGAUCUUGCUGUAGCUCCAAGGACAGCUGAAAUCAACAUCACUAAAUCCCUCAAAACUGCAGAAUAUUACAGUAGUUUUAUAGCUGGGAUGCCUCCUCAUCCAGUUCUGGACAGGGAUAAGGAGAAGCCUUUGGAAAGUGAGCUGCUGCUCAUGUGACUGCUUGGAUUGGUGUUCCAGCUGGGACAAAUUUGGUCACCCCGAGGGGAGAGAAUCCUGCCAAGGGGAGAGAAUCCUGCCAGGGGGAGAGAGCCCUGCCCCGCUCACCGAACCGCCCUGCGCCGCUCCUGCGGGUCUGGGGACACGUAGGCCUUCAUCUCCUCCUUGGCACGCUGCAGCUGGAUCUCCAGGCUCUGUGAAGAAAUACAUCAUCAAAUACAUCUACGGAGACUCUUUCCAGCUCCUCCUGGGUGUAGCUGUAUCCAGAGAUUCCUUUCUUCUCCUCGAUUGCUUGCUGCAGACACAAACAGUAAAUGCUGGAUAUGAGCCCAUUAACCAAGAAACUGUAAAUUCCUUCUUGGAGCCAAAUAUUGUGAAGUGAAAAGGGUAAGUACAAUAAUUAAUUUAUUUUAUUAAUCAAUUUAAUAUAAUUAAUCUAGGUUCCAGAAAAGUAGAUUUUAUCUCAUGCCUGAAUAGCAGGACAAUAAAAACCCUCUGCAAAUACAAUAUUUGCUCAUCCAGUGGUCAGUGAAGUGAACAGAGAGUUUCCACAGAGCAAAGUGGGCUGGAGGUCAGGCUCUGAAGAAGUUCAAUGUGUAAAAUCUGUCUGCUUGAUCAGAAGAUGCAGCAAAUUAUUUUGUAAAGUAUUUUGGUAACAAGAACACAGGGAUUGGAAGAAAAUACCACAGAGUGUUCCUGCAUUUGGGAUGCUUACAGUUAUCCAGAGCAGAAAUCCUUCUGGCUUAGGGAAGAUUCAUCCAGUUUUAAAUUUAAAGACAUUUUCUUCUAAAUAUUCUGGGGUUAGAAUGUUUCCUUCUUGAAUGCUCUUUCUUUAAAUACUAUUCCUAUAUAUUUUACAGCAGUAACUUGGAUCCUAUUUGCUGCUGGUCAUUCUCUAAGCCCUCACUACAUCUAUGGAUACCAAAAAGUAAUUUAAGCAUCCAGCCUUGCCCUAAGCAGCAUUUGUACAGAUUCACCAUCCACUUUAAAAAGCAGGAAAAAAAGAAGCUGCAGACCAGUCUUGAUGGACACAAAGUACAGCAGCCUCAGAGUCAACAGCCAAAAAUCCCUUUUCUCCCCAAAGGCUCCGUCAGCGAGGGCAGCAGGAGCUG